AACGAACGCUGGCGGCAGGCUUAACACAUGCAAGUCGAACGAGCUGGGGGCUUCGGCUCCCGCUGCUAGUGGCGCACGGGCGAGUAACACGUGGGAAUAUGCCAUUUAGUACGUUAUAACCAAAUGAAACUUUGGCUAAUACCGUAAUCGCCCUUCGGGGGUACGAUUUAUCGCUAAGGGAUUAGCCCCCUUCUGCUUUGGUAUUUGGCGAGGUCAGGGCUCAUCAAGCGGACGAUCAGUAGCUGGCCUGAGAGGACGAUCAGCAACACUGGGACUGAGACAAGGCGCAGACUCCGACGGGAGGGAGCAGGGGGGAAUAAGGGACAACGGGGGCGACACGAAGCCAGCCAGGUCGUGAGAGUGAAGAAGGGCUUCGGAUUGUAAAGCGCUUUCGACGGGGACGAUGAGGACGUAACCAGUAUAAGAAGCCCCGGUAAACUUCGU
rnacentral:rRNA from 1 species